rnacentral:rRNA from 1 species
AUUGAACGCUGGCGGCAGGCUUAACACAUGCAAGUCGAACGAGUGGCGGACGGGUGAGUAAUGUCUGGGAACCUGCCCGAUGGAGGGGGAUAACUACUGGAAACGGUAGCUAAUACCGCAUACCAUCAGAUGUGCCCAGAUGGGAUUAGCUAGUUGGUGGGGUAAAGGCUCACCAAGGCGACGAUCCCUAGCUGGUCUGAGAGGAUGACCAGCCACACUGGGACUGAGAAACGGUCCAGACUCCUACGGGAGGCAGCAGUGGGGAAUAUUGCACAAUGGGCGCAAGCCUUAUGCAGCCAUGCCGCGUGUAUGAAGAAGGCCUUCGGGUUGUAAAGUACUUUUAGCGGGGAGGCGUUACCCGCAGAAGAAGCACCGGCUAACUCCGUGCCAGCAGCCGCGGUAAUUC